rnacentral:rRNA from 1 species
UACGUAGGGUGCGAGCGUUGUCCGGAAUUAUUGGGCGUAAAGAGCUCGUAGGCGGUUUGUCGCGUCUGCUGUGAAAACCUAAGGCUCAACCUUGGGCUUGCAGUGGGUACGGGCAGACUAGAGUGCGGUAGGGGUGACUGGAAUUCCUGGUGUAGCGGUGGAAUGCGCAGAUAUCAGGAGGAACACCGAUGGCGAAGGCAGGUCACUGGGCCGCAACUGACGCUGAGGAGCGAAAGCGUGGGGAGCGAACAGG